UGGGGAAUAUUGGGCAAUGGGGGAAACCCUGACCCAGCGACGCCGCGUGAGGGAAGAAGGUUUUCGGAUUGUAAACCUCUGUCUUCGGUGAAGAACAAAUGACGGUAGCCGAGGAGGAAGCCACGGCUAACUACGUGCCAGCAGCCGCGGUAAUACGUAGGUGGCAAGCGUUGUCCGGAAUUACUGGGUGUAAAGGGAGCGUAGGCGGGUGUGUAAGUAAAAUGUUAAACCUAUGGGCUCAACCCAUAGUUGCGUUUUAAACUGCACAUCUUGAGUGAAGUAGAGGCAGGCGGAAUUCCUAGUGUAGCGGUGAAAUGCGUAGAUAUUAGGAGGAACACCAGUGGCGAAGGCGGCCUGCUGGGCUUUUACUGACGCUGAGGCUCGAAAGCAUGGGGAGCAAACA
rnacentral:rRNA from 1 species